rnacentral:rRNA from 1 species
GCCAAGUCGGGGCCGGAGGCGGUGGGAGGACGGGGGGGGCAAGCGGUAUUCGGAAUCACUGGGCGGAAAGGGUGCGUAGGCGUCCUCAUAAGUCUCCGGGGAAAGCCCACGGCUUAACCGUGGAACUGCAGGGGAAACUGUGAGGAUAGAGUGCGGAAGAGGUAGAUGGAAUUUCCGGUGUAGGGGUAAAAUCCGUAGAGAUCGGAAGGAAUACCAAUGGCGAAGGCAAUCUACUGGGACGUCACUGACGCUGAGGCACGAAAGCGUGGGGAGCAAACAGGAUUAGAUACCCGAGUAGUC